CUCCAGAGGAGCACGGCCGCAUCUGGCUGAAGGACCAAGCGCACUGUCCAAAGAGCCACACCCCCUCCCCAGCAGAGGAAUAGGCACCACCAUCAACACCCGAAGCCCCAGCAGCAGCAGGAACGAACUGCCAGUCACAAGGCACCUUGAGAGUUUCAGGAUGCAGAUGUCUCCUGUCUUUGCCUGCCUCGCCCUGGGCCUGGCCCUCAUCUUUGGUGAAGGCUCUGCCUCCUACAAUUACCAGUCUCCGGCGGCCCACCUGGCCACAGACUUUGGAGUGAAAGUGUUUCAGCAGGUGGUGCAGGCCUCCAAGGACCUCAACGUGGUUUUCUCACCCUAUGGGGUAGCCUCAGUCAUGGCCAUGUUACAGCUGACCACAGGAGGAGAAACCCAGCGGCAGAUCCAAGAGGCAAUGCAAUUCAAGAUUGAUGAGAAGGGCAUGGCCCCUGCCCUCCGUCGACUGUACAAGGAGCUCAUGGGGCCAUGGAAUAAGGAUGAGAUCAGCACGGCUGAUGCCAUCUUUGUGCAGCGGGAUCUGAAGCUGGUCCAGGGUUUCAUGCCCCACUUCUUCAGGCUGUUCCGGACCACAGUCAAGCAGGUGGACUUCUCAGAGAUAGAGAGAGCCAGGUUCAUCGUCAACGACUGGGUGAAAAGACACACAAAAGGCAUGAUCAGCGACUUACUUGGCGAAGGGGCUGUGGACCAGCUGACACGCCUGGUGCUGGUAAACGCCCUCUACUUCAACGGCCAGUGGAAGAUGCCUUUUCUAGAGUCGAGCACCCACCACCGCCUCUUCCACAAGUCCGAUGGCAGCACUGUCUCUGUGCCCAUGAUGGCUCAGACCAACAAGUUCAACUACACUGAGUUCACCACCCCCGAUGGCCAUUACUACGACAUCCUGGAGUUGCCCUACCACGGGAACACUCUCAGCAUGUUCAUUGCUGCCCCCUAUGAAAAAGAGGUGCCUCUCUCUGCCCUCACCAACAUUCUGGAUGCCCAGCUCAUCAGCCAGUGGAGAGGGAAUAUGACCAGACUGACCCGCCUCCUGGUUCUGCCCAAGUUCUCCCUGGAGAGUGAAGUUGACCUCAGGAGGCCCCUGGAGAACUUGGGAAUGACCGACAUGUUUAGGCCAAACCAGGCCGACUUCUCAAGACUUUCAGAUCAAGAGCUUCUGUACGUGUCACAGGCGCUGCAGAAAGUGAAGAUUGAGGUGAAUGAGAGCGGCACGGUGGCGUCCUCCUCCACAGGUGAGUCAGGCUCAGGUGAGGCCUGGCAAGUCUCAGCCCCAGGCUUCCAGGAGGGGCCGCGGUCUGGCACCCAGACCCUGGGUGAACUGGGAAGACCCCACUGCCCAUGUCAACCAGGUCUCUCGUGGUAGAGCUUCGCUUCCUGUGUGGAGAGCACCAUCCCAAUCCUACUAGAAUACAGGCCUGCUUUCCCUGGCACCCCGUUCCCUCCCCACUGGCUCUGAGGUCCUCUGAAUGUGAGGUCCUGGCUUGCUCUCAGAGUGGUCAGUCAACUUAAAGGCACUUGCUUCCAAUACGCCCUAAAAGGGUUUAGAUAAACGUGCCUGCGAGUGACUACCUGAGAGAUCUCUACCCGAUUCCUGGAGGAAACCAGGCCUCAGAGGACAUCCCAACACUUUUAGGGUUCACAUCCAGGAAACAACUGAGCCUCCUGAAACCACCCCCCAUCCCAGUGCCACUGUCACUGGAUCACCUGUGACCAAUCCAAGCUCCCGUGCCCACGUCCCUCUGCUCUAAGACAUGGUCCCUUCUCUUCCAGCCCUUAUAGUCUCAGCCCGAAUGGCCCCCGAGGAGAUCAUCAUGGACAGACCCUUCCUCUUCGUGGUGCGGCACAACCCCACAGGAACUGUCCUUUUCAUGGGCCAAGUGAUGGAACCCUGACCAUGGGAAAUGCAGCCCUCAUCUGGGACGGAACUGGAGAUGUCCAAGAAGAAGAAACUCCGGAGCAAAGAAUUUUUAUUUUAAUUCAUUUUUCUGGAGAAAGAGAAGAUAUUUACCUUUUUUUUUUUUUUUUUUUUAAAUGGUAAAUCUUUCGAAUCUGCCUCUUAGACCUCCGGCUCUCCCAGGAGGGGGAAAGAGGACCUUUGAGUUAAACUCCCCAGUGGAGACCCUGGGGGAGACCUCGGAAGCACAAUGCCCCGAAGGUCUCCCAGCAAGACUGCAGAACUCCCAGGAUCAUUUGCGCAGCUGCUUCUGCCCAUCGCUCUGCCCGUUCGGGUCUUCGGACCCGGAUCGCACUGAGGCCCUGGCAGGAUGGCACCGCAAGGCUUACAGGAAGGAGCUUUUGUGUGUUUGCUAGAAAUAAUUUGUGUUCCGGUCACGUUGCCAUCACUCUUGCACUGUCUUGCCACUGCUGAGAAAGCUGGCUGCAGGCCAAAGAAGGCCAAUGGGAGAAACACUCUUUCAUGUCAAGGUCCGUCCUCCCCCAGCUCAGAGGCGCGAGACCCACCCAGGCCUGGCUGGCCCCUCCCCAGAAACAGUGUGCAUAUAUUAUUUUGGAGUGUAGGUGACUUGUUUACUCAGAGAAGCAGGUUUCUGCUUCCCACAAACUUUAUGUUGCAGAAAUAGAGGGAGAGAGAUGAGAUGUAUGCUUGGUUCUUGGCUCCAAUAUCCUGGUGGGGAGGGUGGGAUGCCAGGGGUGUCCUUGAGUAUUUAUCACAUCCUUGUCCUUGUGUGCUUGUGAGAGAGAAAGGACUAUGGAGAAAACAUAUUAUUUAAACUUGUUCAUAGUGUUCCUUUGUGGUCUGUGUCAUUGCACCUCAGGAGUGGCCACUUGCCUGUCAUUCCCCUCCUGGCAGCAGGCGUGAUAGGGCCCACACUGCCACCUGGUGGCUGCCUGAACCCCAUCGCUCGUCUCCUGGCCUUUCCACUCCGUGGAGCAGGACCCCUGCCAGGACUGUCCAACUUCAGCCCACUUUAGGGACCAAAAGGAUGUGGUGGGUCAAGGCAGACAGAGUUGUUGUUUCAAAAUUUUCCAAUAUAUUUAGGAGCGGGAGUGCAAGAGGCUACACGACCUAGCAGGACAGAACUUUCCCCAAUUACAGGGUGACUCACAGCCGCAUUGGUGACUCACUUCAGUGUGUCAUUUCCGGCUGCUGUGUGUGAGCUGUGGACACGUGAGAGAGAGAGAGAGAGAGAGACAGAGAGACAGAGAGAGCGAGAGAGCGAGAGCGAGAGAGUGAGAGAGAGAAUGAGAGACAUAGCAAGAAGCUCGGGCUCAAUUACCCCCGUUAGAUAAUCUUUCUGAAAGCCAACUAGCUGGUGGGUAAGGCAUGAAGACCAAUUUAUUGAAGAAUUGCACAUAGAUGUCGAAUGAAUGUAACCUAAUAGAACCCUAAUCAUCCCACUGCGCCCUUCAGUGAAAAAUCUUCGUUCUUUGUGUGUUUUUUUUCUUUUUCCAUGAUGCACUGGACAAUGACAGCCACACAGUACCCUCAAGGAUACCCAGAUGUGGGGUCCAACGUUCUUGAAAGUGUGUUGAAUUCUAUGCUUUUUCACUUUUGAUAUAGAAGCAACUAAAAAAUGUUUUUUUUAAAUAAUAAAUAAA